CCCAGGACCAGCUUGCUUUAGGGGACUCUUCUCCAGGUUAAUCUCUCUGUAGGGUGUGUUUGUGAACAGAGCCCCAGGACCAGCUUGCUUAGGGGACUCUUCUCCAGGUUCAUCUCUCUGUAGGGUGUGUUUGUGAACAGAGCCCCAGGACCAGCUUGCUUUAGGGGACUCUUCUCCAGGUUCAUCUCUCUGUAGGGUGUGUUUGUGAACAGAGCCCCAGAACCAGCUUGCUUUAGGGAACUCUUCUCCAGGUUCAUCUCUCUGUAGGGUGUGUUUGUGAACAGAGCCCCAGGACCAGCUUGCUUUAGGGGACUCUUCUCCAGGUUCAUCUCUCUGUAGGGUGUGUUUGUGAACAGAGCCCCAGGACCAGCUUGCUUUAGGGAACUCUUCUCCAGGUUAAUCUCUCUGUAGGGUGUGUUUGUGAACAGAGCCCCAGGACCAGCUUGCUUUAGGGAACUCUUCUCCAGGUUCAUCUCUCUGUAGGGUGUGUUUGUGAACAGAGCCCCAGGACCAGCUUGCUUAGGGGACUCUUCUCCAGGUUCAUCUCUCUGUAGGGUGUGUUUGUGAACAGAGCCCCAGGACCAGCUUGCUUAGGGAACUCUUCUCCAGGUUCAUCUCUCUGUAGGGUGUGUUUGUGAACAGAGCCCCAGGACCAGCUUGCUUAGGGGACUCUUCUCCAGGUUCAUCUCUCUGUAGGGUGUGUUUGUGAACAGAGCCCCAGGACCAGCUUGCUUUAGGGGACUCUUCUCCAGGUUCAUCUCUCUGUAGGGUGUGUUUGUGAACAGAGCCCCAGGACCAGCUUGCUUAGGGAACUCUUCUCCAGGUUAAUCUCUCUGUAGGGUGUGUUUGUGAACAGAGCCCCAGGACCAG